rnacentral:tRNA from 2 species
GCGGGUAUGGCAUAACGGCUGUGCACCAGCCUUCCAAGCUGGAUAUACGGGUUCGACUCCCGUUACCCGCUCCA